AGCGAACGCUGGCGGCAGGCUUAACACAUGCAAGUCGAACGCUCGUAGCAAUACGGGAGUGGCAGACGGGUGGGUAACGCGUGGGAAUAUGCCUUUUGGUUCGGAAUAACUCAGGGAAACUUGAGCUAAUGCCGGAUAAGCCCGUGAGGGGAAAGAUUUAUCGCCAAAAGAUUGGCCCGCGUCCGAUUAGCUAGUUGGUGAGGUAAUGGCUCACCAAGGCGACGAUCGGUAGCUGGUCUGAGAGGAUGAUCAGCCACAUUGGGACUGAGACACGGCCCAAACUCCUACGGGAGGCAGCAGUGGGGAAUAUUGGACAAUGGGCGCAAGCCUGAUCCAGCCAUGCCGCGUGAAUGAUGAAGGCCUUAGGGUUGUAAAGCUCUUUUGUCCGGGAAGAUAAUGACGGUACCGGAAGAAUAAGCCCCGGCUAACUUCGUGCCAGCAGCCGCGGUAA
rnacentral:rRNA from 1 species